rnacentral:rRNA from 1 species
UACGGAAGGCAGCAGUGGGGAAUAUUGCACAAUGGGCGCAAGCCUGAUGCAGCCAUGCCGCGUGUAUGAAGAAGGCCUUCGGGUUGUAAAGUACUUUCAGUCGUGAGGAAGGUGUUAAGGUUAAUAACCUUAGCAAUUGACGUUAGCGACAGAAGAAGCACCGGCUAACUCCGUGCCAGCAGCCGCGGUAAUACGGAGGGUGCGAGCGUUAAUCGGAAUUACUGGGCGUAAAGGGCACGCAGGCGGUUAAUUAAGUUGGAUGUGAAAUCCCCGGGCUUAACCUGGGAAUGGCAUUCAAGACUGGUUAGCUAGAGUCUUGUAGAGGGGGUAGAAUUCCAUGUGUAGCGGUGAAAUGCGUAGAGAUGUGGAGGAAUACCGGUGGCGAAGGCGGCCCCUGGACAAAGGCUGACGCUCAUGUGCGAAAGCGUGGGGAGCAAACAGGGUUAGAUACC